rnacentral:rRNA from 1 species
CCUCACCGCGUGCACUGGUCCGGCCGGGCUCUUCCUCCCGGGGAGCCGCAUGCCCUUCGCUGGGUGUGCCGGGGAUCCGGGACUUUUACUUUGAAAAAAUUAGAGUGUUCAAAGCAGGCCUUUGCUCGGAUACAUUAGCAUGGAAUAAUGGAAUAGGACGUGCGGUUCUAUUUUGUUGGUUUCUAGGACCGCCGUAAUGAUUAAUAGGGACAGUCGGGGGCGUCAGUAUUCAAUUGUCAGAGGUGAAAUUCUUGGAUUUAUUGAAGACUAGCUACUGCGAAAGCAUUCGCCAAGGAUGUUUUCAUUAAUCAGUGAACGAAAGCUGGGGGAUCGAAGACGAUCAGAUACCGUCGUAGUCUCAGCCGUAAACUAUGCCGACUAGGGAUCGGGCGGUGUUACUUGUUGACCCGCUCGGCACCUUACGAGAAAUCAAAGUUUUUGGGUUCUGGGGGGAGUAUGGUCGCAAGGCUGAAACUUAAAGAAAUUGACGGAAGGGCACCACCAGGCGUGAACGUUGAGCUUCCGCAGACUCUGCGCCGCAAAGCAGCCCGAGAGGGUGGGUGGUGGCCCGCGCAAGCAAGUGCUAGUCCGCCGCGGCGGGCGACGCGCCCAAACUGCGGGGACUCCCUGAAGCGUCGGACACCAAGCCGCGCGCCGAAAGGCGCCGGUGGCCGGGCUAACGCCCCCGGGUACGGUGACAGCGCCGGCGUAUUGGGUUAUCCGCAGCCAGCCCCUAAGUCCUGCGGGAUACGGGGAGGGUUCAGAGGCCAGAUGGGUGCGGGGGGCCGCUGCCGGCCCCCCAAGGUAUGGUCCACCCGCCGGUGAAAGCCGGCGGUCCAGGCGGGAGCCUGCGGCUUAAUUUGACUCAACACGGGGAAACUUACCAGGUCCAGACACAGGAAGGAUUGACAGAUUGAGAGCUCUUUCUUGAUUCUGUGGGUGGUGGUGCAUGGCCGKUCUUAGUUGGUGGGUACCCUUUUUUCAUUUUCACCGUGGUUUAGAUUCAGUUUACUAACGAUUUUACAGGUGGAGUGAUUUGUCUGCUUAAUUGCGAUAACGAACGAGACCUUAACCUGCUAAAUAGCCAGGCUGGCUCCGGCCGGUCGCAGGCUUCUUAGAGGGACUAUCGGCUCAAGCCGAUGGAAGUUUGAGGCAAUAACAGGUUAAAGGGGGGGGUCUCCUCGAGGGACCCCCCAUCACAGGCCUGUAACGGCGGUCAUCCGCCAGUCCAGCGUCUUUACCUCCCCGGGGGAGCCCCCGCUGUCGGGGGGAGGGGCACUCGGUGCCUGACGUGGGCGACACCACCUGGAACAGGGGACGCCAAACGGGCCUUCGGGUGCCGUGGCCAAUCCUGUGGCGAGCCUGGGUAGCGCCGGGCCGUCGCAACGCGCGCAAAGGGGUGGGCUGCUGUACGGCGGCUUAAGGUACGUGCUAAUCCCUCGGGAAACCGAGCUCUCGCGAGGAGGCCCGGCAGGUCAAAUCGCGGGGGGCCGUCUGGCGUGAAGCCGGGCGGCGGUGGGAUUCGGUUGCGGGUGGGUGCGAGUUUCCGCCCGCCGCCGGGCCCCGGAUGCUGUGAUGCCCUUAGAUGUUCUGGGCCGCACGCGCGCUACACUGACGGGCCCAACGAGUUCGCUCCUUGGCCGAGAGGCCUGGGUAAUCUUGUUAAAGCCCGUCGUGCUGGGGAUAGAGCAUUGCAAUUAUUGCUCUUCAACGAGGAAUGCCUAGUAAGCGCGUGUCAUCAGCACGCGUUGAUUACGUCCCUGCCCUUUGUACACACCGCCCGUCGCUACUACCGAUUGAAUGGCUCAGUGAGGCCUUCGGACCGGCCCAGGGAGGUUGGCAACGACCACCCAGGGCUGGAAAGUCGGUCAAACUUGGUCAUUU